rnacentral:lncRNA from 1 species
UGGUCGUUGCCCUGCGUCUCCCUUAAGAUGCUGUUUAUGGACAAUUGUAUGACUAUCCUGCCCCCUUUAGGAAAUGGAUAAAAAACCUGGAUACCUCCCUUAGGAAAUUCCAGGCGCACCUCGCGUCUCCCUUUGGAUGCUUCUUUGCCGGCUAUGUCCCCUGAAGGACUCUUUUGGUCGUUGCCCUGUGUCUCCCUUAGAACGAUGCUUAUGGACAAAUGUAUGACCAUCCUUCCCCCCUUAGGAAACAGAUAGGAACUUGGAUACCUCUCUUAGGAAAUUCCUGGCGCACCCUGUAUCUCCCUUAGGAUACUUCUGGUCGUCGCCAUACGUCUCCCUUUGGAAACUUUUUUUGGGCAACUGUUUGACUAUCCU